rnacentral:rRNA from 1 species
GACGUAGGGCGCGAGCGUUGUCCGGAUUUAUUGGGCGUAAAGAGCUCGUAGGCGGCUUGUCGCGUCGAAUGUGAAAACCCACGGCUCAACUGUGGGCUUGCAUUCGAUACGGGCAGGCUAGAGUUCGGUAGGGGAGACUGGAAUUCCUGGGUGUAGCGGUGAAAUGCGCAGAUAUCAGGAGGAACACCGGUGGCGAAGGCGGGUCUCUGGGCCGAUACUGACGCUGAGGAGCGAAAGCGUGGGGAGCGAA